rnacentral:rRNA from 1 species
GACGAACGCUGGCGGCGUGCUUAACACAUGCAAGUCGAACGGAAAGGCCCUGCUUUUGUGGGGUGCUCGAGUGGCGAACGGGUGAGUAACACGUGAGUAACCUGCCCUUGACUUUGGGAUAACUUCAGGAAACUGGGGCUAAUACCGGAUAGGAGCUCCUGCUGCAUGGUGGGGGUUGGAAAGUUUCGGCGGUUGGGGAUGGACUCGCGGCUUAUCAGCUUGUUGGUGGGGUAGUGGCUUACCAAGGCUUUGACGGGUAGCCGGCCUGAGAGGGUGACCGGCCACAUUGGGACUGAGAUAAGGCCCAGAAUCCUACGGGAGGCAGCAGUGGGGAAUAUUGCACAAUGGGCGGAAGCCUGAUGCAGCAACGCCGCGUGCGGGAUGACGGCCUUCGGGUUGUAAACCGCUUUCGCCUGUGACGAAGCGUGAGUGACGGUAAUGGGUAAAGAAGAACCGGCUAACUACGUG